GAAUAUCUCUGCUUUUAUGUUUUUUAACUAAGACGUAACAAGUCAGGUCCUUGGGUCUGCUUGCGGUUUCUUUACUGAACACAAGCUUACCUUAAAUGAAUUAGCUGGAUUUCAGCAGAGUUGUUAAGUAAAAUUGAAAACUCUCGUAAUAGGAAGUCUGCUAUCCAAUCUUUGUCUUGUUUUACAAGAUGAAACUUUUUUC
rnacentral:misc_RNA from 1 species